ensembl:snoRNA SNORD83B small nucleolar RNA U83B
ACGUGUUGGUGAUGAGACCACGGAAUCCUGCGUCAGGCAUGGCGCCCGAUACACCGUGAGGAUUAGUUUUCCAGCUGCCUUCCUUCUGAAACACGA